rnacentral:misc_RNA from 1 species
GGAGAAAGUUAAGAGAUCCAAAAUCCUUUAAUAUAAAGUGCUGCAGUAAAUUCAUAACAUUAUUGUUAUGAAGCUUUGUUUCAUUCCAGUAAGAAGAAUAUCAUCUGCAUACACAAGACAAUAAGAAAGUUUCUCAUUAUGUUGAUAGAUGAAAAGAGACGAGCCUGCAUGAGAAGGCCAAAAAUUCAACUAAAAUAGUGCAUCCAUUAGCUUACGAUAGUAUUGACAUGGUGCCUGACAUAAAUCGUAGAGUGAUCAUUUGAGUUUGCAAACAUACAUCGGUUUGUCGGAAACAAUGAAGCUGGGGUUUGCUCCAUAAAAGCACAAUCAUUUAAGUAUCCAUGCAAGAAAGCAUUGAAUACAUCUAGUUGUUUAAUUGACCAUCCAUGAGAAGCAAUAAUUGAAACUAUUACCCAUAGUGUGACAAGUUUGAGAACUGUAAAUAUGUCUCUGUGAAAUCAACGCGGGUCAUCGGUGGAAUCCUUUAGCCACCAAAUGAGCCUUGUGACGAACAACACUACCAUCGAGUUUUUGCUUGAUUCAGUAUACCCAUUUGCAACCAAUUAUGUUUUGAGCCUCACAGCAGGAACAAGCUCCCAAGUACGAGUUUGUAAAAGGACAUUGAACUUGGCAUUCAUGGCCUCACGCCAUUUUGGAUGAAUGGAUGGUUUGGUGUCACAGUUUGGAAUGAUGGAUUGAUCAUUGACUAAAAGAAAGGUGUGUAGCUUGAGGUGCAAGUCUUUAAUUGAGUUUGCUUGGUAAGAGAUGAAGUCGGUUGGUUUGAAGAUACUGGUGGAAGAGAUUGCUCAGAUAAGGAUGAAAGUUGGGGAUUUGUAGGAUAUGAGGUAAGGUCCACCACAAUGGAGAGUCCAUUAGUAUUAAAGG